AUACACUCAUCUAAGAAGAUAGAUAAUGCUUCUGCACAUUGAGAUUCUGAUAUUUGUAUUUUUCAUUUUGGUAGAUUUCUCACUUUAGCAAGGAGGGGAUGGGGUUUAUUUUUUUCACAUACUGUCUCCAUUCAAGGGUAUUAACAACCAUGGUGGCACCUGUUUCUAAAGAUUCCAAGCUUACAGAAGCUGCCAAUCGUAUUCCGAGACAUCCUCUGUUGGUAGUUUUUGUUCAUGUUGUUCGUUUGGGAUUGUACUGAAGCCAUAACCAUGCUUCACUGCAAGCUCUUUG
rnacentral:misc_RNA from 1 species